UACAGAGGUGGCAAGCGUUGUUCGGAAUUACUGGGCGUAAAGGGCGAGUAGGUGGCCAUCUAAGUCAGACGUGAAAUCCCCCGGCUUAACCUGGGAACUGCGUCUGAUACUGGACGGCUUGAGUAUGGGAGAGGAACGUAGAAUUCCAGGUGUAGCGGUGAAAUGCGUAGAUAUCUGGAGGAAUACCGGUGGCGGAGGCGGCGUUCUGGACCAUUACUGACACUGAAUCGCGACAGCGUGGGGAGCAAACAGG
rnacentral:rRNA from 1 species